rnacentral:rRNA from 1 species
AUACGGAGGGUGCAAGCGUUGCUCGGAUUUACUGGGCGUAAAGCGCACGCAGGCGGUCUGGAAGGUCGGGUGUGAAAGCCCGGGGCUCAACCCCGGAACUGCACUCGAAACCGCCAGACUUGAGGUCGAGAGAGGAGGGUAGAAUUCCUGGUGUAGAGGUGAAAUUCGUUGAUAUCAGGAGGAAUACCGGUGGCGAAGGCGGCCCUCUGGCUCGAUUCUGACGCUCAUGUGCGAAAGCGUGGGGAGCAAACAGGAUUAGAUACCCUGGUAGUCCACGCUGUAAACGAUGAAUGCCAGGUGUUGGAGGUUUCACCCCUUCAGUGCCGUCGCUAACGCUUUAAGCAUUCCGCCUGGGGAGUACGGUCGCAAGAUUAAA